GAAUUCACUAGUGAUUAGAGUUUGAUCCUGGCUCAGAUUGAACGCUGGCGGCAGGCUUAACACAUGCAAGUCGAGCGGGGAAAGGUAGCUUGCUACCUAACCUAGCGGCGGACGGGUGAGUAAUGCUUAGGAAUCUGCCUAUUAGUGGGGGACAACAUUCCGAAAGGAAUGCUAAUACCGCAUACGCCCUACGGGGGAAAGCAGGGGAUCUUCGGACCUUGCGCUAAUAGAUGAGCCUAAGUCAGAUUAGCUAGUUGGUGGGGUAAAGGCCUACCAAGGCGACGAUCUGUAGCGGGUCUGAGAGGAUGAUCCGCCACACUGGGACUGAGACACGGCCCAGACUCCUACGGGAGGCAGCAGUGGGGAAU
rnacentral:rRNA from 1 species